GACGAACGCUGGCGGCGUGCUUAACACAUGCAAGUCGAACGGAAAGGCCCUGCUUUUGUGGGGUGCUCGAGUGGCGAACGGGUGAGUAACACGUGAGUAACCUGCCCUUGACUUUGGGAUAACUUCAGGAAACUGGGGCUAAUACCGGAUAGGAGCUCCUGCUGCAUGGUGGGGGUUGGAAAGUUUCGGCGGUUGGGGAUGGACUCGCGGCUUAUCAGCUUGUUGGUGGGGUAGUGGCUUACCAAGGCUUUGACGGGUAGCCGGCCUGAGAGGGUGACCGGCCACAUGGGGACUGAGAUACGGCCCAGACUCCUACGGGAGGCAGCAGUGGGGAAUAUUGCACAAUGGGCGGAAGCCUGAGGCAGCAACGCCGCGUGCGGGAUGACGGCCUUCGGGUUGUAAACCGCUGUCGCCGGUGACGAAGCGUGAGUGACGGUAAUGGGUAAAGAAGCACCGGCUAACUACGUG
rnacentral:rRNA from 1 species